UCGAUUUGGAGUUUGUUGCCCUGAGUGAUGGGCUCCGAAGCUAACGCGAUAAAUCGACCGCCUGGGGAGUACGGCCGCAAGGUUAAAACUCAAAUGAAUUGACGGGGGCCCGCACAAGCGGUGGAGCAUGUGGUUUAAUUCGAUGCAACGCGAAGAACCUUACCUGGUCUUGACAUCCACAGAAUCUUGCAGAGAUGCGAGAGUGCCUUCGGGAACUGUGAGACAGGUGCUGCAUGGCUGUCGUCAGCUCGUGUUGUGAAAUGUUGGGUUAAGUCCCGCAACGAGCGCAACCCUUAUCCUUUGUUGCCAUUGGUUCGGCCGGGAACUCAAAGGAGACUGCCGUUGAUAAAGCGGAGGAAGGUGAGGACGACGUCAAGUCAUCAUGGCCCUUACGACCAGGGCUACACACGUGCUACAAUGGCGUAUACAAAGGGAGGCGACCUCGCGAGAGCAAGCGGACCUCAUAAAGUACGUCUAAGUCCGGAUUGGAGUCUGCAACUCGACUCCAUGAAGUCGGAAUCGCUAGUAAUCGUGAAUCAGAAUGUCACGGUGAAUACGUUCCCGGGCCU
rnacentral:rRNA from 1 species